CCGGUGGAGUCAGAGAAGACGCGGAAUCAGACAUUUUUUAACUUUGUAUUAUUCAAAAUAACUACUAAACAGCCAAGGAUUUUAUACAAGAGGAUUGCUCGAUCCCAUUUAAGCCUAUGUUCGCCAAAUAAAAUGUCAAACGCUCGAAUACGUGACGUCACUACGUUACCUCCGUGCUAUGUUUACAAUAUGUAAAACGGCUCAUUUUCCUUACUUUCCGUGUGUUUUUUGUGGAUUAUUGUUCGUUUAGAGGAUUUAUCCUCACUGUUAUUAUUAAUUGAUGUUAUAUACGUAGUUUGUUGUUGUAAUUUCUUGUUAACUUAUUAAUAUAGUUUGUUAUCAUUAUGUUACUAUUUGUGUUUGUGUUAGUUUAGUGUUCAGAGACUUUAGAGCCUGUAAUAGAAUUUCAAUUUUGCUCAAAAGGUUAAUCUUUAAUAAAAAAAAAGAUGCCUGGUCUUCGAUGUGCAGUUUAUGGCUGCAAUAACAGUUUUGUUGGGGUAAAAGCCAAAGGGGAAGAUAUCAAAUUUUUCCCAUUUUCAAAAUCUAAUAAUUUAGUUUCACAAACAGUUUACAAGGAGUGAAUAAAUCGUUGCAAGAGGCAGGACAGUUUUAAUCCGAAUCAUAGCCGAAUAUGUUCUAUUCAUUUUACCAGUAAUGAUUUUGAGAGAGACCUGAAGAAUGAACUUUUAGGAUUACCUACAAAAAAAAUGUUAAAGAAAAUGGCUGUUCCCAGGAUGCAUUUGCCACUUCAGAGUAAAAAAAAAGCAGUUGUGCAAGAAAUUUUAAAACAUAGCAACUUAGAAAAUAUACCUGAAACUGCAGUUCUAUAUAGUUUAGGUCAGCGGUCGGCAACUGGCGGACCAUGGUCCAGAUCCGGACCGCGGAAGAUAAAAAACUGGACUGCCAAAAAAUUUUUUAAAGUAUAAUUAGAUAUCCAAAUUAUUUAAAAACAUAUUUUUCUAUAGAUAAGAAUACGUUUGAGGGCCACCUUUAUCAUUUUUUAAUGAUUAGUAUAAAAAACUGACUCGAGACUGCAAAUGUAAUUUCUGCCAUUGAUUUUUGAAUACAAAAGCGCCUAUCUAUUGUAUUUCAUAUUAUUUUGUGAAUGCAAAUUAAAAUAAAAAAUUAGUAAGG